UACGUAGGGGGCAAGCGUUGUCCGGAAUCAUUGGGCGUAAAGAGCGCGUAGGCGGCCCUGUAAGUCCGCUGUGAAAGUCAAGGGCUCAACCCUUGGAUGCCGGUGGAUACUGCAGGGCUAGAGUCCGGAAGAGGCGAGUGGAAUUCCCGGUGUAGCGGUGAAAUGCGCAGAUAUCGGGAAGAACACCGGUGGCGAAGGCGGCGACCUGGUCCGAUACUGACGCUGAGGCGCGAAAGCGUGGGGAGCAAACAGG
rnacentral:rRNA from 1 species